CAGCCGCCGCGGGAAAACGGAGGGUGCAAGCGUUAAUCGGAAUUACUGGGCGUAAAGCGCACGCAGGCGGUUUGUUAAGUCAGAUAUGAAAUCCCCGAGCUUAACUUGGGAACUGCAUUUGAAACUGGCAAGCUAGAGUCUUGUAGAGGGGGGUAGAAUUCCAGGUGUAGCGGUGAAAUGCGUAGAGAUCUGGAGGAAUACCGGUGGCGAAGGCGGCCCCCUGGACAAAGACUGACGCUCAGGUGCGAAAGCGUGGGGAGCAAACAGGAUUAGAUACCCCUGUAGUCCCUGUCUCUUAUAC
rnacentral:rRNA from 1 species